rnacentral:rRNA from 1 species
AUCUUCCGCAAUGGGCGAAAGCCUGACGGAGCAACGCCGCGUGAGUGAUGAAAGGUUUCGGCUCGUAAAACUCCGUUAUUAGGGAAGGACAAAUGGGUAAGUAACUGUGCACAUCUUGACGGUACCUAAUCAGAAAGCCACGGCUAACUACCUGCCAGCAGCCGCGGUAAGACGUAGGUGGCAAGCGUUAUCCGGAAUUAUUGGGCGUAAAGCGAGCGUAGGCGGUUUCUUAAGUCUGAUGUGAAAGCCCACGGCUCAACCGUGGAGGGUCAUUGGAAACUGGGAAACUUGAGUGCAGAAGAGGAAAGUGGAAUUCCAUGUGUAGCGGUGAAAUGAGCAGAGAUAUGGAGGAACACCAGUGGCGAAGGCGACUUUCUGGUCUGUAACUGACGCUGAUGUGCGAAAGCGUGGGGAUCAAACA